UGCUGCCACCAUCGCUCCUGUG
rnacentral:misc_RNA from 1 species